rnacentral:rRNA from 1 species
AACGAACGCUGGCGGCAUGCCUAACACAUGCAAGUCGAACGAGACCUUCGGGUCUAGUGGCGCACGGGUGCGUAACGCGUGGGAACCUGCCUUUAGGUUCGGAAUAACUCAGAGAAAUUUGAGCUAAUACCGGAUGAUGUCUUCGGACCAAAGAUUUAUCGCCUUUAGAUGGGCCCGCGUUGGAUUAGCUAGUUGGUGGGGUAAAGGCCUACCAAGGCGACGAUCCAUAGCUGGUCUGAGAGGAUGAUCAGCCACACUGGGACUGAGACACGGCCCAGACUCCUACGGGAGGCAGCAGUGGGGAAUAUUGGACAAUGGGCGAAAGCCUGAUCCAGCAAUGCCGCAUGAGUGAUGAAGGCCUUAGGGUUGUAAAGCUCUUUUACCCGAGAUGAUAAUGACAGUAUCGGGAGAAUAAGCUCCGGCUAACUCCGUG